rnacentral:snRNA from 1 species
AAACUUACCUGGCAGGGGAGAUACCAUGAUCACGAAGGUGGUUUUCCUAUUGCACUCGGAAUGUGCUGAUCCCUGUGAUUUCUCCAAAUGUGGGAAACUCAACUACAUAAUUUGUGGUAGUGGGGGGCUACAUUCGCACUCCCCCC